CUUAUGUGAACUGGACUGUAGGAUUACUGGCAGAAGCGAAAAACUUAACUUAGACUAGUGACGGUUGAGGCCCUGCUAAUGCCAAGUGGCGGUGAGAGGCUCUAUCUAUGAUUUGGGCGAAGUGGAUUAUGUUGCCACAGAUGUGGUGGCGGGAUGUUGGCCUCUCGGUGACAUUUAAAAGGUUCAAACGUGUGGCCGUGACGAGUGAGGCCCUGACUACGGCCCUGUAGAAGAGCGAAUGAGGCGAUUAACUAUGAUUUGGGCGUAGGGCCAUACCACCGUGUUGAGGUUUGGGAGAUGGUUUGUAAAUGCCUCGGUGAGCUAGGUCUGACGUUCAGACCCUGUGAGCCAGUUCACGUAACAACUAUGGGAUAAAUUGGCGUUUUAUGUGCUGGUAGGAUACUAACCUUGAUAGAGAUUAUACUCGUGGACUUGUUUCUUCAAGUAUAUGAGAGAGAGGUCCAGUGGUUGGUGAUGUCGUAGCAGAAGCCUAAGGGGUUUGAGACAGAUGUAGAUCUGAGUGAGCGUGGC